AAAAUAAAUACUUGAAGUUUCAGAAUAACUAGAUUUACAGGAAGGUUGCAGUGACGGUUUGUAUCCACCCUUCACCCAGCUUCCCCUUGUCUUACGUAACUGAGGCAUGUUUUGUCAAAGCUGAGAAACAUACAUGAACUCUGGCCUUUGUUUAGACUUUGCUGGUUUUUCCAUCAUCUUCGUUCUGCUCCCGGAUGCAAUCCCGACUACCACACAGAGAAUCAGUGUGUCUCCUUAGUCUUCACUAGUCUGUGACGUGUUUGGAGUCUUUCCUUGUUCUUCAUGACCUUGACAGUCUGGAGAGCCAGCCGGGCGUCCUGCAGGACAUCCCAGCCUGGGUUUGUCGGCCGUUUAGCUUGUGAUUAGACCGGGGACGUGGGCUUUGGGAAGUGAGUCACUGAGUGGAGUCCAGCGUCAAGCGGUGGUGAAGGGAUGCGGUGGGAUUAGGUGGAUUCAGCGCCACCUUCUCCCAGAGAGACUGUCCACAUCAGCACUUACAAUUCGGAACGCACUGUCACGAGCCCUGGCUUUCUCGGGGAUCAGGUAGACAUCUCUCCGCGCACAGACCGCCCUACACCUGAGCAGGGCCUCCCAGGAUGCUCUGGGCCUUUCUCCUCAUUUGCUCCUGUCCUUCCUGCUAAGGGACAAGAAACUCCCCACCCCGCGGGGCCAGAGUGCUUACCGAGGGAGCCGCCCGCCUGCUGUGGGGACUGAGUAUAGGUUGGCUGGGUUGGAGCCUCUGGUUAAUCUUGUCCCUCUCUGCCCCAGGCAGGGCAGUGGGGGUGGCUGUCCCGAGGCCCUUCCCAUGGGGAGGCCCAUCCCAUGCCGUGUCCACCCUGCUGGGAAGCGGGAAGUCUCUGCGGGAGAGUGGGAGUCACCAGACCUGGGUCCCUGGCUUUGCAGCCUGUCCUGUGCUUAGGUCUGUAGCCUAAAAGAAGGCAUGGCAAGGAGGCCCCUUGGCCACGGGGCCUUCCUUCCCAGUUCUUUGGGUCUUACCAGUAGCCCCUGUGCCAGCCUCCUCACCCCAUGCUGCCCAUCUGAGCCCAGAAGGCAGGCGCUUCCCUGAGACUCUGCCUCCGGGAGGCAUCAAAGCUUGCCUCCCUUCCUGAUGAUGCCCUUGUCCUUUCUUUCCAGGGGUAUGGCUGGAGCCAGCCCCACUAGGCUUUUGCUGCCAGGCUUUUAGGCUUUCAGGCCUAGCUCCUUCUUUGUCCCUGGCCCUUCUGGCCCCAGUGUGGCUUCCACGGUCUCCAGGCCUGGAGUGGGACGCGUGAGGCCUCAGGCAUGAAGGUGGAUGGGCAGGACCUGUGCUUACCUCUUUCUCCCACUGCCCUGUGUUGGGGACUCGGGUGUCCGACGCGGCGUGUGUGGUGGGGAGGCCUCGUGGGCAUGUCCUGUCAGGUGGGGAUCCGCCCCUCCAACACAACCAUGAGGCCCCAGCAGUGGUCUUCAAGCUGAGCAGGGUUAGGGUUGGGGGUGCUGAGGGGACGUUGAUCUGGACAUAAGAAGGGUCUGGAGCCCAGGCAGAGAACAGAUAGCGCGGCGUGCAAGGGGAGGAGGGCUGGGGGCCACGGUCUGUGUGGGCUGGGCUGGCCUGGGCUGGUCCCAGGGGGUACACAAAGCCCACCCUGGUUGUGGUCCCAGUACUUCUUCAGGGGCCCAUGGAAAAGAACACCAGGAGACACAGCAGAGGCCACGACCAGCACCUGCCUUGGGUGCUGGCUGUAUUAAAUACCAAUCAAAAACACAGUUUAGCUGUCAAGAAAAGUGGGAAAAAAAUCAACAGUGAGAAACAAUUCAAAACAACAGAAUAAAAAAAUUGGGCUUUCAGCUCAAAAAGGGACACAAGUGCAAGUUAAAGGGUGUGGCAUUCUCCGAUCCAGCCAGCCACGUGGCAGAGGCCCCCGGGACGCUGACCACUGCCCGAACGGCAGCCUGCUCCUGGAAAGAACCAAAGCUCCAGGCAGCUGUCCUUACUCAACCUGGUACUUGAAAGAGCUCAUCAAAUUGUAGUCCUCUUCCAAGUCUAGCACAGUCUCCACGAUAUUGUGAUCGUCGAAAGCCUGCUUGAGGCUGCCGGGGUCGCUCUCCGGGCCCUUCUGAGGGCUCUCGUCCACAAGCAAGGCCCAGGCCUCCUCCCUGAAGGGCGAAUCUCCACAGCGGCCACACACACGGUUCAGCUCGUUUUCAAAUUCUAGUUUCCCAGCCAACUCUUCAAUAGUUCGGAUGCUCGUAUGGUCUUAAAAAUAAGAACAUUCAGCAUUACGAUUCCAGUGAGAUGUUUCAGGAGACGUUUCAGGCACCAGUGAAAACCCACAACGGGCAGCCCUCUCCGGGGACGUCAGGGCAGGCGGGCUGCCAAACUGGGCCCCAGAUGCUAAGGUGGUCUUGGUGCCCACCCCUCUGGCUCUGCGUUUAUUGAGCCCAACGACCUGCUGGUCCCCCAGCAAGGACGACUCAGACAUGUCUGGGCUGGUCUUGGAUCUUAGGGAACUCCCUGACCUGCAGGCAUGGCAACACAUCCUGUGAGAAAAAUGGAGCCUUCAGCAAAAUCAGACUGCUGCCCAGGGCUGGCGAGGAGUGUGGGGGAUGGUGAGCGGAGGCAGAGGACUCGGACUCCUCUCUGCGGCUACCCCAGAGGAGACACCAGCCACUCGCCCAGUGGCUCCGUAGGUGUCUUGCUCCGUGGCCUCAGGGGAGCCUCUCCUCCCACCAGGCCUCUCUUCAUCCCUUAGAACCUGGCGGCCCUUCCAGAGCCAAGAGGUUCAGGCAGUGCCUUUCACUGGGGCUGUCUGUCCACUGAGCAGUGUGAGUCAUUUGGAAAAAAAGAGCAAACAAAAAAUACAUAGUUCCCACACAAAAUGUACAGAUGUGUAGGAAAAAACCUCUGGCAAGAUCUCUAGCACGGUUAACAUUGGCUUUCUCUGGGUGUUGGCAUUACAGGGGAGACGUGAGUUUCUAACUUUCCUUCUAAUCUUGGGGGACCACCAACCCCCACACCCCAUCUUUGCCUAUGUCCUGUCUCCAGAACUAAGCUCAACCGCCAAGCCCUGGGGACGACUGUCCCUUAUGCCCAGGGAUUCACUGUAACCAGACAUUUAUGAAAUGACCUGAUUCCUGUGCGACUCCACGGGCUAUCAGCUGCAUGAGGGCCCGGUGCAGAGAGCCUGCCGCGGGCAAAACAGAGGCACCACGUAGACGGAUGAGAGCUGAGAGAGUGGUUUUGUUUUUUAAAGACACCUGCCGACUCAGGGGCCUGCGUGAAGGACCUGUCCUCCCAAGGAGGGGACAGGUGUGCCCUUUGUACUCACCGAUCAUAUCAAGCAGAUCUUUUGUGACCUCUUGGCUAGAAUUGCUGAGUGGCAUGUUUGAGUCAACCUUCAAAUCUUUCUCCAUAUCUUUCCUGCAACCCCCAAGUAGAAAAAAAAGAAGAAAAGGUGGAGGGUUAGAGCCUCUUCAAAGAAAACCUUGUGGGGAACUCAGUGUUCAUCUUAAAAACAAAACAUACUGGUAACUAUGCUGUGAUUACAGAGACGGUUGGAAACUGCUGAGUCAGUGAUGUCGACUAAUAAUAUCCUCGCGACUCACGAGCAUCGCUGACAGCGCACUGGUGACAGCACCUUUGUGAUGGUGCCUUUCUGCCUACAGAUGCCCAUAUUCACAUGUCAGAAUGGAACCCACUCAAUGGCUUCUUCCUUUGCUGCUUCCAGGGCAGCCAAGAUGGCAGGACCCUGAAGUUCCAGCCCAUAGGGUCAUCCUUGCUCCAGCUCAAGGUGCCUAAAACCAGGCAGUUUAAACUUUACUGGGGAGAGGGGCACCUGGCGGGCUUAGUUAGAACAGCAUGUGACUCUUGGUCUCAGGGUGGUGAGGGAGCCCCACGUUAUAGACCUCAUGUAAACAGAGAAUCUUUGAAGCUAUCAGGGAAAAAAAGGUCUAAGGGAGAUCUUAACGUGAGGUCUAAGACCUCAUGAGGUGGGGAGCGGGGGUAGGUUAGGGAGGGGGGUGAAGACCGCAGAAGCAAGGAUGAAAGCAGGAAGUAGGGACCAGCCACGCAUCUGGCCUCUCCCUAGCAGGGACACUGGAAUGAAGAUUUUCCUUUCUGCAGUAUGAAAAACGAAGUGACUUAGAAUCAGGAUCUCUAACGUUCACUACCAUUGUGGGACCCGCAGAGUGGUCUCUAGGAAGGGUCUGGCAAUCCUAGGGGCAGGCAGAAGCGGUGCUGCACUCAACUCAGGAACGUGCACAUUUUCAGAAACGAGGGCCCCCCGACGGUAACUUUUUACACUGUCAAGUUGGAAUCACCUUAGGCUGUCUUUUCUCCAGUUCUCCCCGUCUCCCGCGGCUCUCCAGAACUGUCUUUCCGGUGCCAAAAUGGAGGAAUGCAUCAAUACGUUUUCCUUACUGGUCAGAGGUUUUCUUUUCGGGCAUGAAGCCUGUGGCUUUGCAUUCACUGGGGCAUGGUUGGGCGCAAAGGCUGGGCUCUCGUUCUCAGGAGCGCAGGGGACUGGAAGGAAGGGAGCCGCGGAGGAGGAGCAGGCCGCCUGCGGGUGCCUCCUGCAGAGGAGCCGGUGCACGGGGAGGGGGAAGGAGAGCGGCGCGGCGUCCAGCUCCAGCCUCGGCCGGCCCGAGCACUCCUGGGAAUGACUGACGCCUUCAAAGGCCCGGUCAAUGGCCGCAGUCAGCUCCUUCCUGCAUCUUCGCAGUUUUUCUGACAUUUCCCCUAAAAGCGACCACGUCUUUAUUAUGUAACACAUUGGAAAUGCACAUUGGAAGAGCAACACGAGAAUAACGUUACAGACGAAGUCCCAAACCACCCCCAAAGAGCGCAUCUCCCGGAGCUUGAUCCACGCCACCGGCCAGACGGCAGAGGAACCCACACUCCGGUCGCCCUCCUGCCCAGGUGGCGGGUGUGGCCCGCGGAUCUCCCAGAGGAGCCAGCGGUCGGACUGGAGCCCCAGGGACGCCCAGCCCCGCCUUCCCCGGCUCCGGGCCCGCCCGCCCCUGCCGCCCUGCCCGGCCCAGCCCAACCCAACCGCCUCUGCAACCCCUCUCCGCCCUCUCCAGCAGCCCGCAGCCCGCAGCCGGCCCUCGGGCGGAAGGUCCGGAGGCGUGUCCUCACCCGCCAGCGCGGCCACACCGCCACCGGGGCCAACGGUCGCCGCGCACGUCCCAGCCGGUCGCGUGCCCGAGAAUGGCGUUCCCUGCUCCCCCCACCCCCGCCAAGGUUAAAGGUCAGACAAGAAUGCCCGGACUGACCACCUCUUCUUAAAACCCACUCAGCGCAGCGGAAGCGAGGGCCCCCCCACCCCCACCAGGGAGGGACGCUGCCGGAUGCGGGGGGGUGUGGGGGGGUGGUUAGGGAAGGGGGGCGGGGGUAAGACCAACCAGAAACCGCUGGGGGAGGAGGGGCAUAAUUUCAUUUCUUACCAAAGUCGGCGAGAAGGGAAAGGUUCCCAUUCUCAAGCCAACGUGGAGAGAAACUGGAUGGGCCACUGGACCCAGAAGUUUUGUGUACCAACUUUUUUAAAGUGAUAUCUAAUAAACGCGCCACCCCGUCUCCAACCGUCUCAAUUCAUCAAGGAUGGUGAGGGACAUAACAGAACUGCUAGGUUCCACACGAGAUUGAGGGGUGGGAGACCCCAACACCAAAUAUCUUCAUUUCAUUACGGGGAAGAAAGCUGGAAAUUCCAAGAUGGCUCAAAGGGAAACAGAAAUGGGCUUCAGGGACCAAUUUUGAGGGAAUUAUAAACCCAUGUCAGUGCAGAGCAAGGGAGAAGGGGACAACAUCAAGUGAACUGGAGGCUUGGUUUACUGUGGGCAGACUGCUGGCGUGACCAGGAACCAGCACCAGAAUGAGAAAUCCAGGAACUCAGGGCGGCCUGCAGUGGGUCUUCGUGGCCACCGCACUCAAUGACAGUGUUCCUCUCGAUUCUUUGGAAUUCCUCGGCCUUACUCCACUGUGCACCCCCCUCCCGACCCCCCCACACUUUCCAGCUCCACAGGUCUUACAGAAAUUUCUCACCACCUGUAUAAAAAGAAAAAUAAUUCAGCCUCUUGACAUAACCCUUCUGAGCAAACAGGGUCUUUUUUUUCUUCUGCUCAUAAAAGCAGGGGAUUUCCUCAUCUGGUUUUUAGACGGAACACUAGUAGUCUUCAGAGUGUCAAAGAUGUUCUCCUGGGGGAUUACACUGGUGCUGAGGGGCAGCAG